CCUCUCUCCAGCUGUUUCCUGUCUCUGUUACUGGUCGCUGCUGUGGUCUGGAAAGUCAAACAGACGUGCUGGGCCUCACGACGUAGAGAGAUAACAGAGGAUCUAAUAAAUGGAAACCUCUGCCUUCGAGGGAGAAAUCAUCACUGUAGGAACUGUGGCGAUUAAACUUCACUUUCUUCCCUCCAUCA